GCCCGCUUGGCCAAGUGGUAAGGCGUCGCACUCGUACAGCUAUAAAAUGCGAAGAUCUCCAGUUCGAUCCUGGAAGUGGGCU